rnacentral:rRNA from 1 species
UACAGAGGAUGCAAGCGUUAUCCGGAAUUAUUGGGCGUAAAGAGCUCGUAGGCGGCUUGUCGCGUCGGUUGUGAAAGCCCGGGGCUUAACCCCGGGUCUGCAGUCGAUACGGGCAGGCUAGAGUUCGGUAGGGGAGAUCGGAAUUCCUGGUGUAGCGGUGAAAUGACGCAGAUAUCAGGAGGAACACCGGUGGCGAAGGCGGAUCUCUGGGCCGAUACUGACGCUGAGGAGCGAAAGCGUGGGGAGCGAACAGG